AAAAAAGCCCAUUUCUUCGAGCCAGUCUGAUCAGAUUGGCGCUCUUUUCUGUCUUGUGUCUUUUCAAAUUUCGCCGGAUUUGCUUCUCUACGUGGUAAUCGGGCGAGUCAUCCCCUCUCUGACUCAGUGAUUGGCAUUUCUCUCUCUUCCUCUCGCUAAGCUAAGCCAUCAUUUGCUUCUUCUAUGUUCAACAAAUAAGCUUGGCAAUGGAUUCAUAUUCGCUAAAGUCUGUGUCAGAUUUGCCCGCACCAUUUCGUUCAAUUUUUAACUUCAGGUACUUUAAUUCACUGCAAAGUGAAUGUUUUCCUGUCUGUUACCAUUCCAAUGUAAAUAUGGUAAUCUCAGCACCAACUGGAAGUGGUAAAACAGUGCUCUUUGAGCUUUGUAUACUGAGGCUUCUCUCAAGGUUUAUAUCAGAGGGGAGGUUUAUCCACAUCAAGGGAACUCUCAAAACAAUCUACAUAGCGCCAUCUAAGGCUUUGGUACAAGAGAAGCUUCGUGAUUGGAAUCAGAAAUUUGGAUCAUUGGGGAUAAAUUGCUUGGAGCUGACAGGGGACAAUGAAUUUUACAGCAUAAGGACUGUACAAGAAGCAGAUAUUAUCCUAACUACUCCUGAGAAAUUUGAUGCUGUGACUCGAUAUCGCAUAAAGGAUGGUGGCUUGAGCUUUUUCAGUGACAUUGCACUUCUACUUAUCGAUGAAGUUCACCUACUGAAUGAUCCACGUGGAGCAGCUUUGGAGGCAAUAGUUAGUAGAAUAAAAAUGCUUGCUCACAACCCUGAAAUGAAAUCAAGUACUCUAUCAUGUGUCCGUUUUCUGGCAGUUUCAGCCACAAUUCCAAACAUUGAGGACAUUGCUGAAUGGCUUAGUGUUCCAGCCCAAGGAAUUAAAAGGUUUGGAGAAGAAAUGAGACCUGUAAAGUUAACAACUAAAGUUUUUGGCUACACCCCAGCAAAGAAUGAUUUUCUAUUUGAAAAGCGCCUUCAAAACUAUAUAUUUGAUAUUCUGAUGCAGUAUUCAAGAGGGAAAUCUGCUCUUGUUUUUUGUUCAACUCGAAAAGGAGCACAAGAAGCAGCGCAGCGACUAUCUCAGACAGCAAUGACCUUUGGCUAUUCAAAUCCAUUCAUUAAAGACAAAGAACAGCAGGAAAGGCUAAGGGAAGCUUCACUAUCGUGCAGUGAUAAACAAAUGCAAUCAUAUAUCCUUUAUGGUGUUGGUUAUCACAAUGGUGGGCUUUGCUUGAAGGAUCGCAACCUUGUUGAGGGUCUCUUUCUAAAGGGUGACAUUCAAAUUCUAUGUACGACAAACACCCUUGCACAUGGAAUCAACUUACCAGCACAUACAGUGGUCAUAAAAUCAACACAGCACUUCAACAAGGAAAAAGGUCUUUACAUGGAAUAUGACCGAUCUACAAUACUGCAGGUGUUCUUAUUCUAUUGAUAUAAUGUCAAGUAAUUAAUUUGAUGAAGUUACUGUGUAUGCCAUAUAUUUGAGCUUGAAAUAUGAAAACCAGAGCUGUAUUCUUAUAUUACUUUGUGUGGUUUUAUUUUUGUUCACGCAUGAAAGUUAUAUCUGGAGAAAAAAAGGAUGCAGUCUGAGUCUGAGGGACUGCUGGAGUGAUUCGUUGUAAAUGAUUGUAGUGGAUAUUAAAAGUGGC
rnacentral:misc_RNA from 1 species